AGGAAACUUUCCCACAGGGAUUUUGCUGAGUUCUACCACCAACAAUGCCAGAGAUGAGAAGGCCAUGCAGCAACAGAAACCUUUCCACUUCUGCCCUUUCUGUGUUCAGAUGCACAGGUAUCUUUUCUUCUACGAUGCUUGCUGACCUUGUAGAAUGUCACUCACUGUGGUCAGGAAUUUGUGUCUGUGUGUGUGUUAGGUAAAUCCUGCCUACAACUUCUCCAUCAGUGCUUUGUACUGUUUCCUACACACACAAGAAGUCCUCCAUACAGAUCUUCAUGAUUUAUUGAGAUCCAAUUUUUAAAAACAAUCUUCUCUUCCUUGGAACGACUCCACCAAACUUUAGUAUUCUCCCAGACAAUGUAAGGAUUAUUUAAAUGUCUGUUUGUAAAAAUAACUAUGACACAUUUUAUAGAUUUCCUUUUAAAACUCAGAAGGCCAGGCCUAGUCCUAUAGGCUAUGUAGCUGAAAUGAUCUCUGGGAAACAUGUCAGCCUCUCUGAGUUCCUCAGAAGAUGUGCUCUAUAAGUGUAAAAAACAACAAAUAAAGUUUGGAGGACAAUCCA